rnacentral:rRNA from 1 species
UACGUAGGGUGCAAGCGUUGUCCGGAAUUAUUGGGCGUAAAGAGCUCGUAGGCGGUCUGUUGCGUCGGCUGUGAAAACCCGGGGCUCAACCCCGGGCCUGCAGCCGAUACGGGCAAGCUAGAAUUCGGUAGGGGAGACUGGAAUUCCUGGUGUAGCGGUGAAAUGCGCAGAUAUCAGGAGGAACACCGGUGGCGAAGGCGGGUCUCUGGGCCGAUAUUGACGCUGAGGAGCGAAAGCGUGGGGAGCGAACAGG